rnacentral:misc_RNA from 1 species
UACGAAGGUGGCAAGCGUUGUCCGGAAUUAUUGGUCGUAAAGCGCUCGCAGGCGGCCUCUUAAGUCUGCUGGUAAAGACCCCGGCUCGACCGGGGAGGGCCAUUGGAAACUGGGAGGCUUGAGUAUAGGAGAGAAGAGUGGAAUUCCACGUGUAGCGGUGAAAUGCGUAGAGAUGUGGAGGAACACCAGUGGCGAAGGCGACUCUUUGGCCUAUAACUGACGAUGAGGCGCGAAAGCGUGGGGAGCAAACAGG